rnacentral:rRNA from 1 species
UAACGUAGGGUGCAAGCGUUGUCCGGAAUCAUUGGGCGUAAAGCGCGCGUAGGCGGCCCGAUCAGUCCGCUGUAAAGUCCAGGGCUCAACCCUGGAAAGCCGGUGGAUACUGUCGGGCGUAGAGUCCGGAAGAGGCGAGUGGAAUUCCUGGUGUAGCGGUGAAAUGCGCAGAUAUCAGGAGGAACACCGGUGGCGAAGGCGGAUCUCUGGGCCUUACCUGACGCUGGAGGCGCGAAAGCUAGGGGAGCGAACAGG